GUACAAAAACCCAAUGGACACCAAAUCAAAAUGAUAAAAGGGACUCCAAGAAACAGUAUUCUUUAGUUCUUCCCAGUUUUAACACCUAGGAUUCCAUUUACGAUUCAAAUCAAAGUCAAAAGAAAAAAAAAUAAAAUAUUUUCUAAAUCACCAAAUCCAGAGCGGCACUAGCAUGACCGGAGCACAACAGAACAUCCACCCA
rnacentral:lncRNA from 1 species